rnacentral:rRNA from 1 species
UACAGAGGGCGCGAGCGUUAAUCGGAAUUACUGGGCGUAAAGCGUGCGUAGACGGUAGCGUAAGUCAGAUGUGAAAGCCCCGGGCUCAACCUGGGAAUUGCAUUUGAGACUGCUCUGCUCGGGUGCGGAAGAGGGAAGCGGAAUUUCCGGUGUAGCGGUGAAAUGCGUAGAUAUCGGAAGGAACACCAGUGGCGAAAGCGGCUUCCUGGUCCGACACCGACGUUCAGGCACGAAAGCGUGGGGAGCAAACAGG